UGGGGAAUAUUGGGGCAAUGGGGCGCAAGCCUGACCCAGCAACGCCGCGUGAAGGAAGAAGGCUUUCGGGUUGUAAACUUCUUUUAAGGGGGAAGAGAAGAAGACGGUACCCCUAGAAUAAGCUACGGCUAACUACGUGCCAGCAGCCGCGGUAAUACGUAGGUGGCAAGCGUUGUCCGGAUUUACUGGGUGUAAAGGGAGCGCAGGCGGGAGCGCAAGUUGGAUGUGAAAUACCGCAGCUUAACUGCGGAGCUGCAUCCAAAACUGUGUUUCUUGAGUGAAGUAGAGGUAGGCGGAAUUCCGAGUGUAGCGGUGAAAUGCGUAGAUAUUCGGAGGAACACCGGUGGCGAAGGCGGCCUACUGGGGCUUUUACUGACGCUGAGGCUCGAAAGUGUGGGGAGCAAGCAGGAUUAGAUACCCUGGUAGU
rnacentral:rRNA from 1 species